UUUCUCCCCUGAUGACUUGCACUGGGCUCUGAGACAUAAUGGAGAGAAAAGUGCCCCUCUGGCCCUGACAUGCCAGAGUUACUGAGGAGAAA